UACGAAGGGGGCUAGCGUUGUUCGGAAUAACUGGGCGUAAAGCGCAUGUAGGCGGAUCUUUAAGUCAGAGGUGAAAUCCCAGGGCUCAACCCCGGCAUUGCCUUUGAUACUGGAGAUCUGGAGUCUGGGAGAGGUGAGUGGAAUUCCGAGUGUAGAGGUGAAAUUCGUAGAUAUUCGGAGGAACACCAGUGGCGAAGGCGGCUCACUGGCCCGAGACUGACGCUGGGAUGACAAUGCGUGGCGAGGAAACAGG
rnacentral:rRNA from 1 species